CCAACAGGUAAAUGACACCAAAGCUUCCCUAAAGCAAUUCUAAAGAACCAAGUCCAGGCUGCGCUCCCCGACUGGCUUGUUCUCAGAAGGAGGGAUGCGGGAAGUAACUCAGUGAGUCCUGGAAAGGCCCAAGUCUUGGCUCGUGUGUAUUCAGACCAUUAAUUCUGAGAGUUUCCUUUCUCUGGAGAAUCAAGACUGCACCCAAAUGGAGGACGAUCGCAGUGCUGAAGUACAAUUGCUCUUUCCUGUAUGUUGCCUGAUCCCUACCUGCUGAAAUUACUGGUCAAGAUGUAGCCUCUUCUGGGAUAUCUCCUUAUAUGAAAGAAAGCUGAUGACUAAAACAAAUUAAUCAUAUACCUUCUGCUGUAUAAACUUUAUUAUAUUCAUAAAUAUUAGUAAGAACCAAAAAUAAUUUGCACGGAGGAAAUGCUCCACAAACCUUUUUAUAAAUACAGGACAUGAAAGUCUAA